AGUAGAAUUGCUAGGUCAAAUGGUACUGUAUGUUUAACUUUUUGAGCGACUACUAGACUGUUUUCCCAAGUGGCAGCACCAUUUUACAUUCCCACUAGCAAU
rnacentral:pre_miRNA from 1 species